UACGAAGGUGCAAGCGUUGCUCGGAAUUAUUGGGCGUAAAGCGCACGUAGGCGGCUUAGCAAGUCGGAUGAUGAAACUCCCUCCGGGCUCAACCAAAGGAAGGUGGCAUCCGAAACUGCUGAGCUUGAGUACUUAAGAGGAUCGCGGAAAUUCCCGGUGUAGAGGUGAAAUUCGUAGAUAUCGGGAGGAACACCAGUGGCGAAGGCGGCGAUCUGGGAAGAUACUGACGCUGAGGUGGCGAAAGCGUGGGGAGCAAACAGG
rnacentral:rRNA from 1 species